GAUGAAAAUGAAAAAGUCAAAAGUUAUGACAUCAUGCAUGAUGCCAUAACUAAAUUAAUAAAUUGAAUUAUUUAAUUGGGAUUUUUUUUGUGGUCUUCCAUAAAUUAAAUUAGAUAAAGGAAAAGAAAAAAAAAGAAACAAAAAGGUCUUCUUCUUCCCUUGGUUGCCGCCCACCUUCUCCCUCUCAUCUCCAUGAAAUUUUUUUCCUUAAGCUUACAAUUAAGCUUGAUUCUCUCCACUUAAUCAACAUAACUCCCUUAAAUACCUCACUAGAACUUGUGAUCUCAACUUGAGAAGAGGAUUUCAAGAAGAAAGAGGAGUUAAAGAUAGUGAUUUGAAGCUUUAAGUGAGCUGAAAAAUACUUGGAAGCUCGGAGAGACUGAGUCAAGGCCUAGAGGCGACUCCAGUCAGAUAAGAGCAAGGAAAAAGCAGCAGAGUGAGCUGCUACUGAGUUGAAGAUCACAUCAAGCUUUUGUACGGGUAUUAUUUUAUACCCUUGUAGAUAAUUUUGAUGUAAAUAUGGAAAUGUUAUAUGUAUCAAUGUAGUUGAGCAGUUGUAAAUAAAUUGUAAUAAUAUUAUUUUGGGUUUGCUUCUGAAAAUUUAAUAUUUGUAAAUAUGAAUUUUCUGCUUUAUGCCCUGC